GGGUUGUGAGGUUAAGCGACUAAGCGUACACGGUGGAUGCCCUGGCAGUCAGAGGCGAUGAAGGACGUGCUAAUCUGCGAUAAGCGUCGGUAAGGUGAUAUGAACCGUUAUAACCGGCGAUUUCCGAAUGGGGAAACCCAGUGUGAUUCGUCACACUAUCAUUAACUGAAUCCAUAGGUUAAUGAGGCGAACCGGGGGAACUGAAACAUCUAAGUACCCCGAGGAAAAGAAAUCAACCGAGAUUCCCCCAGUAGCGGCGAGCGAACGGGGAGCAGCCCAGAGCCUGAAUCAGUGUGUGUGUUAGUGGAAGCGUCUGGAAAGGCGCGCGAUACAGGGUGACAGCCCCGUACACAAAAAUGCACAUGCUGUGAGCUCGAUGAGUAGGGCGGGACACGUGGUAUCCUGUCUGAAUAUGGGGGGACCAUCCUCCAAGGCUAAAUACUCCUGACUGACCGAUAGUGAACCAGUACCGUGAGGGAAAGGCGAAAAGAACCCCGGCGAGGGGAGUGAAAAAGAACCUGAAACCGUGUACGUACAAGCAGUGGGAGCACAGAGCAAUCUGUGUGACUGCGUACCUUUUGUAUAAUGGGUCAGCGACUUAUAUUCUGUAGCAAGGUUAACCGAAUAGGGGAGCCGAAGGGAAACCGAGUCUUAACUGGGCGUUAAGUUGCAGGGUAUAGACCCGAAACCCGGUGAUCUAGCCAUGGGCAGGUUGAAGGUUGGGUAACACUAACUGGAGGACCGAACCGACUAAUGUUGAAAAAUUAGCGGAUGACUUGUGGCUGGGGGUGAAAGGCCAAUCAAACCGGGAGAUAGCUGGUUCUCCCCGAAAGCUAUUUAGGUAGCGCCUCGUGAAUUCAUCUCCGGGGGUAGAGCACUGUUUCGGCAAGGGGGUCAUCCCGACUUACCAACCCGAUGCAAACUGCGAAUACCGGAGAAUGUUAUCACGGGAGACACACGGCGGGUGCUAACGUCCGUCGUGAAGAGGGAAACAACCCAGACCGCCAGCUAAGGUCCCAAAGUCAUGGUUAAGUGGGAAACGAUGUGGGAAGGCCCAGACAGCCAGGAUGUUGGCUUAGAAGCAGCCAUCAUUUAAAGAAAGCGUAAUAGCUCACUGGUCGAGUCGGCCUGCGCGGAAGAUGUAACGGGGCUAAACCAUGCACCGAAGCUGCGGCAGCGACGCUUAUGCGUUGUUGGGUAGGGGAGCGUUCUGUAAGCCUGUGAAGGUGUGCUGUGAGGCAUGCUGGAGGUAUCAGAAGUGCGAAUGCUGACAUAAGUAACGAUAAAGCGGGUGAAAAGCCCGCUCGCCGGAAGACCAAGGGUUCCUGUCCAACGUUAAUCGGGGCAGGGUGAGUCGACCCCUAAGGCGAGGCCGAAAGGCGUAGUCGAUGGGAAACAGGUUAAUAUUCCUGUACUUGGUGUUACUGCGAAGGGGGGACGGAGAAGGCUAUGUUGGCCGGGCGACGGUUGUCCCGGUUUAAGCGUGUAGGCUGGUUUUCCAGGCAAAUCCGGAAAAUCAAGGCUGAGGCGUGAUGACGAGGCACUACGGUGCUGAAGCAACAAAUGCCCUGCUUCCAGGAAAAGCCUCUAAGCAUCAGGUAACAUCAAAUCGUACCCCAAACCGACACAGGUGGUCAGGUAGAGAAUACCAAGGCGCUUGAGAGAACUCGGGUGAAGGAACUAGGCAAAAUGGUGCCGUAACUUCGGGAGAAGGCACGCUGAUAUGUAGGUGAAGUCCCUCGCGGAUGGAGCUGAAAUCAGUCGAAGAUACCAGCUGGCUGCAACUGUUUAUUAAAAACACAGCACUGUGCAAACACGAAAGUGGACGUAUACGGUGUGACGCCUGCCCGGUGCCGGAAGGUUAAUUGAUGGGGUUAGCGCAAGCGAAGCUCUUGAUCGAAGCCCCGGUAAACGGCGGCCGUAACUAUAACGGUCCUAAGGUAGCGAAAUUCCUUGUCGGGUAAGUUCCGACCUGCACGAAUGGCGUAAUGAUGGCCAGGCUGUCUCCACCCGAGACUCAGUGAAAUUGAACUCGCUGUGAAGAUGCAGUGUACCCGCGGCAAGACGGAAAGACCCCGUGAACCUUUACUAUAGCUUGACACUGAACAUUGAGCCUUGAUGUGUAGGAUAGGUGGGAGGCUUUGAAGUGUGGACGCCAGUCUGCAUGGAGCCGACCUUGAAAUACCACCCUUUAAUGUUUGAUGUUCUAACGUUGACCCGUAAUCCGGGUUGCGGACAGUGUCUGGUGGGUAGUUUGACUGGGGCGGUCUCCUCCUAAAGAGUAACGGAGGAGCACGAAGGUUGGCUAAUCCUGGUCGGACAUCAGGAGGUUAGUGCAAUGGCAUAAGCCAGCUUGACUGCGAGCGUGACGGCGCGAGCAGGUGCGAAAGCAGGUCAUAGUGAUCCGGUGGUUCUGAAUGGAAGGGCCAUCGCUCAACGGAUAAAAGGUACUCCGGGGAUAACAGGCUGAUACCGCCCAAGAGUUCAUAUCGACGGCGGUGUUUGGCACCUCGAUGUCGGCUCAUCACAUCCUGGGGCUGAAGUAGGUCCCAAGGGUAUGGCUGUUCGCCAUUUAAAGUGGUACGCGAGCUGGGUUUAGAACGUCGUGAGACAGUUCGGUCCCUAUCUGCCGUGGGCGCUGGAGAACUGAGGGGGGCUGCUCCUAGUACGAGAGGACCGGAGUGGACGCAUCACUGGUGUUCGGGUUGUCAUGCCAAUGGCACUGCCCGGUAGCUAAAUGCGGAAGAGAUAAGUGCUGAAAGCAUCUAAGCACGAAACUUGCCCCGAGAUGAGUUCUCCCUGACUCCUUGAGAGUCCUGAAGGAACGUUGAAGACGACGACGUUGAUAGGCCGGGUGUGUAAGCGCAGCGAUGCGUUGAGCUAACCGGUACUAAUGAACCGUGAGGCUUAACCUUACAACGCCGAAGGUGUUU
rnacentral:rRNA from 1 species